UGGCAGGCAUGGUGCUGGAGAAGUUGUUGAGAGCUAUAUCCUGAUCCACUGGCAGCAGAAAGAGAAAGAGUUAUUUGGCUUGGAAUAGGUUUUUAAAGUCUUAAAGUCUACCUCCAACUUCCUCCAACAAGGCCACACCAACUAAACAAGGGCAUACUUACCCCGACAAAACCACACCCUCAAUCUUUAUAAUCUUUUCAGAUAGUUCCACACCAUGGUGAAUAAACAUUCAAAUCUAUAAGCCUAUGCAGGAAAGGUGUUCUUAUUUAAAGUGCCCAAGUAUGUGCAGUGUGUGAUGCAUAUAGGAGGGCAAAGUAUACUUGUAGAAUUCAUAAGCCAACUUUGUUGUGUUAGUUUUCUUCCAACUCUAGAUUGGUCUUUGGGAUUUGACUCAAGUUGCCAGAUUUGUGCAUCAAACACUUGUACCCAAUGUGCUAUCUCCGUAGCUCAUACUCUGGUUUUUCUUUAUCUUUAACACACGUAUACACAGGAACACACACACACAUGCACACACACACUGAAAUAGAAAGAACAAGAAGGAGGAGGGGGAGGAGGAGGGAGAGAAGGAGGAUAAGAAGGAGGAGGAAGAGAGAGGAGGAGGAGGAGGAGGAGGAGGAGGAGGAGGAGGAGGAGGAGGAGGAGGAGGAGGAGGAGGAGGAAGAAGAAGAAGAAGAAGAAGAAGAAGAAGAAGAAGAAGAAGAAGAAGAAGAAGAAGAAGAAGAAGAAGAAGAAGAAGGUGGUCAACAACAGGAGGGUGGGAAGGAGAAAGAAGAUGGGCAACAAAAGAUAAUGUCAUAGAGAUUAGAAUGUUGAAAUGAAAUAAAGGCUUGGAAGAUUGCCUAGUUUCUAGACUGCCUGAUGCAUAAGCAUGGGGACCUGAAUUCGGAUCCACAGCCAUGGUGGCCCAUAUGUAACAGGAAAAAGAGGAGCUCCAUGACUUUCUGGAAUCCAGUAUAGCCAAUCAGUAAAAUCCAGGUUCAGUGGAGACACAUUCUCAAAAAUUAAGGUGGAGUGAUUGAGAGACAUCUAAUGUUUACCUCUGGCUUUUUCGUUCAUGCACAUAUACAGACACACAUAGGCAUAUAAAUAUAUAUAUAUAUGUACACACAAAAAAUAUACACACUAUACAAAAAAUUGAAGAGGUGGGAGAGGCAAUAGGUAGAAGGACUUCUUACAGAAGCAGAGUUUAAAACCAUCAAUGACCCAUGGUUGGCAUCCAGCAAAGUCACUGCCACUUUAGUCUCACAACCACAAGGAACUAAAUUUCAUAACACUUUGAAAGAUCCUGAAAAUUAAUUAUUCUUUCCCAGAAUUCUCAAAUAAAUGGUGAAUCUUGCCCUUGCCCUGCCCCCAAAUUUAUUUCAGUCUGUUUCAUCCUAAACAGUGGACCCAGUUGAGGGACUAUGGGCUUAUAACCUGCAUAUCUGCGAGAUAGCAAUAGCCAUUGUUUUAGGCAGUGAAGGCUAAGGUAAUUUAUUUACACAGAAAAAACUAGUAUGAAUAAGAAGUUUGAAAACUGCAGUAUAUCAUUAGUAAAUGGCAAGGGUACCUGAUGACAGCUACUUAAAUGUUAAGCCCAAGAAGCCUGGAUUUGGGCCAUUCCACUGAUGGGUGAGUAACAAGGCAAGACAUUUAUAGGUCAUUACUUACUAGAUACCCUGAUUGGGUGGUGUCAGAAUUCUGAAACUCUAUUAGCUGGUGUGACAGCUAAGGAUGUAGUUUCAACCUUCAGCUACCUGGGAUUUAACUGACAGUAUCCUUCAGCUAUUCUUUGAAUUCCGCACUACUUUUGUGCAGCCUAUGCUCGCAUUGCUUCUGGUCAAUUACCAUGGACAUCUUGGUGACUGAGGCAUUCGCACUGCCCUGCAGCAGUCACCUCUAUGGUGACUCACAGUAGCUUCAAGUGCCCCUCACCCCUCUGUUGAGGCUCUCUCUAGCUGUAGUCUAGAGGAUUUUACUCAAUCUUCCUUCUGUCUCUCAUUUAUGGAGCUCAGACUUGAUUCACAGUCUUUCAAAGGCUCUCUGAGCCUUUCCUGGCUCCCUCCCACCUCAUAUUCUCUCACACAGGCAUUUCCCCUAAUAAAACCCUUGCAAGCUGGAGCCUAUCUCCAAGUCUGCCUCCUUAAAGACUUGGACCAGCACAGCUGGGUUUUCUUUCUUCUUGUGAAACCCUUCAUUUCAAUAUAAACAUAAAAUAAAUGAUGGCUAUCUAGGUUGCUUUUCAUUCUUGUGAUCAAAAACACCCAAAUAAAGAAACAUAAAGGAGAAAGAGUUUAUUUGGGCUCAUGGUUCAGAGAUGCAAUACACCAUGGUGGAGAGGUCAAGGCAGCAGGCCCAUCAUUUCCACAGUCAAGACUCAAAAAAUGGUGAACACCUGUGCAUGGCUCACUUUCCCCUUUUAAACAAUCCAGGAUCCCAGUACAGGCAAGGACACCACUCACUCGGAGCAGCACUCACUUACUUAAUUAACCCUUUCAGGAUAACCUCCCAAAGGCUCCCCUCCCAGGGGAUUCUAGCUUCUAAAUAAUUGAGAUUACCUAUUACAACCCUACCUUUCUCCUAGAUGAUACCCAAACACAUCAUUUCUAAUCAAAGUCUUUCACCAUCUGUUCCCACAUCUCUUGUUUAUCUUAUAAAGCAAAGUGUGAUCUGACUUCAAAUGUCCACAACCUUUAGGAGUGCCAAUGGUUUAAAACUUCAAAGUCUACAUUGAUUGAGGCAAAUGCUUAACUGUGAACCCCUAUAAAAUUAAAAGUUCUGGGCAGUCUCUCAUCCAAGUACUACCCAAGGCUGACCAUGCUCAACUCCUGAAAUCAGACAAGUUAGAUGCAUUCAGGGUGCUAUGGUAGUAGUCUAAUUUUUUUUUUAAUAUAUAAAGAAUGUAAGUAAUUUUCUUACUUCUAAACAUGCAGUGGCACAGAAUAAAUGUUCCCACUCCAAACUGGAAGAGUCUGGGCAUUCCAAGGGCAUGGGUGGUAAGGCAUGUCAGAAUUAUAGCAUGCAGUAUACAGUAAUAGCUAAAAGCACUGCUGUCUUUCUCCUGCAAGGUUGUUUAGCACCUUCCAGCGCUAUGAAACCUAGAGAGCAGAGAUCGACAUCUCUAUGUCCUGCAACCAAGUACUUUCUUCAGCAAUAGGAUUUGCCAUCUGGUUGUGGUUUGCAAACACAGAGACCUGGGUUAGAGUUCCACAACUCCUGUAAAUAAGAGCUGGGUAUGGUAUCAGAAGCUUAUAGUCCCAGCAUUGGGGAGAUAAGGCUAGGUGAGUCCCUGGGACUUGCUGGGUAGCCAGUCUGUCUACCAAGGGACCUUCAGACCAAUGAGGAGAACCUAUCCAAAAAAAAAAAAGAAUAAUAAAGGUAGAUAAUCUCUAUAGAAUGACAUGAAGGUUCUUGCAGGUCUCUUAUCUAUACAAACACAUAGCAUGUGUGUACCCAGUGCCCUCAAAGGACAUUGGAUUCCCUGGAAUUGGAAUUACAACAUGUGGGAGAUUGGAACUGAACCCAGGUCCUCUACAAAAGCAAUGGGUAUUAUUAGUUGUCUUAGUCAGGGUUUCUAUUCUGCACAAACAUCAUGACCAAGAAACAAGUUGGGGAGGAAAGGGUUUAUUCAGCUUACACUUCCAUACUGCUGUUCAUCACCAAGGAAGUCAGGACUGGAACUCAAGCAGGUCAGGAAGCAGGAGCUGAUGCAGAAGCCAUGGAGGGAUGUUCCUUACUGGCUUGUUUCCCCUGGCUUGCUCAGCCUGCUCUCUUAUAGAACCAAGACUACCAGCCCAGAGAUGGUCCCACCCACAAGGGGCCUUUCCCCCUUGAUCACUAAUUGAGAAAAUGCCUUACAGUUGUAUCUCAUGGGGGCAUUUCCUCAACUGAAGCUCCUUUCUCUGUGAUAACUCCAGCUGUGUCACGUUGACACAAAACUAGCCAGUACAUUAGUCAUCACUUUAGACCCUUAAUUUAUUUUAAUAUAUUGUUGAUUCUUUGAGAACUUUACCCAUACAUACAAUGAACUUUGAGAAAUUCACCCUGCACUUCUCUUUCUCCUUACUCCCUGCCAAGACCCACCCUCUGCUAGGUCCAGGUUCUUGAGAGAGGGUGUUUGGGAGAGCUGAAACAAAUGACUCGAAGUCAAAUCAUGGGUCCAAGCUGGUGGCCCAUGCUCUGCUGGAGACAGCUUUCCAGCCUGGUCUCUUUCUGUUCUGCUUUCUCUGGAGAUCUCUAGACAGCGCUCUCUCUGGUUUCUGCUCAAGACAGUUCUCCAAGCAGUUUUCUCUUGCUAUUCUAAAAAAUUCUCUGGAUAACUCAUCUCCUGCAGAUCAUAAGCCCAGUCUUUUAUUUUACAUGUCAAUCCAGUUAUUUCCUCCAGGUUUUCUUUUGAUCAUCCUAUGAAUCAGCAUCCCAUGACCUCAGCCCCUUAAUUCUUAGAAGAUAGCAUAUCCUUUUAACAUUGCAAACGAAUUCAGAGAGCUGCCUGCCUCUGUUAAGCACAGAUGCUGAGAACAGAAGAUGACAAUCCAUCCUGAAACUACCAUUUCUGCCACACAGGGACUAACUGCUCUGUCUCAGGCUGACCUUGAACUCAGAAAUCUGCCUGCAUUUUUAUCUUUCUGAUGAGCUGGCUAACUAAUGCAGCUGCCUUUGUUCCUUUAGAUACAUGAAGCCCCUAAUACAAUUCAUAUUACAUCCUUAUUUUUUUGUAGAGUUGAGAAAUUAUAUUUUUUAAUUCAUGAUUUUAGAAUUCUUCUCCACAGCUUUAAGGGCUCUCCUGAAUGAUUCAGCAUUUACCAUUUUGCUUAGACAUUAGCCACACCUUUGCCUCCUGGACUUGUGCUGUCUCUGAUUGUCAUGGAGUUAUUAACAUUAACAGGGGGGACACCUCUUAAAGGAAUAAUGCUAAAUAUGUACAUUAAUAUUCAAACCAGACUAAUGCCAUGGCAGCCAUUGAAACUUAUGGGAGACUCACAUCUGCUGGCUCUGUUCCAGGUGCAGGAAUCAUGUCAUUCUGUCCCCACCAAGGCCAUGGCAGAUCAGGCAACUCCCAGAUACACCCCCACUUUUCCACCCCUCCCUCCCAAUAUUAUAUCUCCUUUAAGUUUGGCUUUUCUAUAAGCCAUAGCCCACAGUUUGUGCUUUCCAUAUAUUCAUUGGUAUGGGACCAUCCCCCCGAAGGAUGGGUCUUGCUAACAGCGGCCUUAAAAUUUUUGAUUUUACCUCCUCAAGAACUCUUCUCAGUUGAGAAUCCCCUCUUCUCUUCACACUAAAACGUUAACUGGCUUGAUCAUGUGCGGGUCUUAUAGACGUGUCUGCGGCUGCUAUGAGUUCAUGAGCACAGAAGCUCUUCAAUUCCUAGCAGAUAGUGUUUUCCUUUGGCCCCUCCCUCUUUGGCUCUUAUAGGCUUUCUACCCCUUUUUCCACGAUGUUCCCUGAGCCUAAGAGGGAAGGGAGGUGAUAUAAAUGCCCUGCUUGUAGCUGAGCACUCCACUGUCACUUGUGAGUGCCUGCAUGAAAAACCAUCUAGUGAAGAAAAACCUUAGCUUGUGAGACUGAAGGAAAUCAAUGUGGAAAAUGUCAUACUCCAUAUCAACUACCUCAACUAUCAUGUCUAUUACUUAAAGUGAUAUUUUCCACUAAGUUGAUUUUGUUACUCUGUGGCUGACAAAAUUAGGAAGUUGUAAAUCAUUGAGAGAUGGUUCAACAUGUAAUUUUUUUUUAACAAGGGGCCUGAUGUAUCCCUUGGGCUCAAGCCAAGAGAUACCUCAGGUGCAAAAAGUUUUUCUAUAUAUGGUAUGAUUGCAUUUGCCAAGGAAAAGUUCUGCAUUUGGACAGCAAGUUUAUUGCCAAGGUGUUUCUUUCUUUACCUAGGUAUAUUUUAAGUAAGAUGUGAAAAUACAACUAUGGUUAAUAAUAAUAAGCAAAUAAAGAAGCUUAUUCUGGGGAUACAUCAAGGCUCUAAAGUUUGAGAGAACAACAAAUCCCAAAUUCCAUUUAACACAGAUAAAUCACUACAUCUGACUUCACAUUCGUGCUGUUAUUCCUCAUUGCAGAGAGUUACCACAGAGAUGCAAGGACAGUGAUUUUGCCCGAACUCUGAGUCUCUCCCAUCUUCAGGGUCCAUCACUGUGGUUCAUCAUUGCUGAGCCUCACUUGAAAAACAAAAAACAAACAAACAAACAAAAAAACCAAAAGGCUAUGCGUACAGGUUGGAUGCAUGCUUCAUUCCAUGUGAGGAAUCAUGGUUUCAAAUGCACAAUUUUCUUUCCUGAGACUUUUCAUCUAGCAACUCAGGCACCACCAAAUUUAUGUCAGUGGAUCACUAUGGUAAGCCAGGAAGGUGGUGGGCACUCAGUUGAUUGAGUCUUCCAAGUUCUCUAUACAAAGCUCUUAUUCAAGCUCGACUUUUACAAUUUAAGUUUUAAGAAACUGAAGACAUGACUGUUUGUGCUUUUCUUGGGUGUUCUACACUUCCCAUGCCAUCUUGGAAACAGUGAAGCUCAAUUAAGCCGUGGAGCAACAUCAAAGAUGUGAGAAAGGGAUUAUGGGAAGAUUGGAAAGCCCAGCAUCUGAUAACUGACUGCAUCCAUGUAAUUUAGAGGUUCCAGGGGCUGACAAACUACCUUAACACAAAGCAAGUCCUGUAUGUAUGAAGAAUUUUUAUGGGGUGCCAAGGGCGAUAGUUCAACCUAACAAUUUUCCUGCAGAGUAAUAGAGGCAUAUGCAGAACUGUCUCAAUGUGAAAUGGGAGAAUUGUUUUAUGAUGUUUGGUUUCAGGUUUACUCAAGAGUCAAGGUGUUCAUUAGAAUUGACCUAGGAAAACCAAAGAACGUUAUGAUCUUUCUCUUCUCGUUCCUGUAGCCUGAAAAGAUGACGCUUUUGAAGUGAACACAUUGUGGUACUAUAAUAAAGUCAAUUUGAAGAAUUCUUUGUUUUCUUUUGGAGAAAAUUUAAAAAUAUUUUACUGUUGUUUAGACAAUUCUAGAAACUACUUACCCGUGGUUGAUAAUAUUAGUAAAUCUUUUACUGAGACAAAACCUUGGGAGAAAGUUGGAAAAUUUUUCAGUUUUCUGCUGUUAUAAAUGGCAAAUGAUUGCUGCAUUUCUUACCCACAAAGGGUCUGCUAAUACACUAACAAGUGCCUGGAAAGACAUUUUGAAACAGUAAGGUAUGUUCGAGCUCCCAGUAUCUGUGAGGAACUGACUUAUUAGAGAAGAGAGUGGGUGUGGCCUGUCCUGAGGAGGCUUCUGGUCUAACCUGUUCCUUCAGUUCCAUCAGCCAAAACUGCAAGAGCAAUCUUCUUUCCCAGAGUCUGACCUGGCAGUCUCCCUCUACUAAUCAAGAAAGGCUUAAAUUCAAUGCUUGCUUUUGGAUGACUUGAACUGAGAUGAAGUUUAUUCAAUAAGAUUCUAGCAAACCACUACCAAUGAUUAACAAUUGAAUCAUAACAAAUCAUAAAAUCAUUAUUAUGUCUUGAGAUUAAGAUGACCUUUGAGUAAAAAGUGAUCUUGCAUGUGGUCAGAUAAUGACUCUAAAGUCUAUUUGGGGAUAAUCAGAAGUUAAAAAGCAACUUCCCUCCUCUGAUUACAUAUAGCUGCUCAAACUACUGUGAAGACUAACCGCUUGCUGUGAAGUCCCAGCUUCUCAGUUCAGCAAGCCAACUUCAUAAAGUUUGCAUGUCCAAUGGGCCUCUCUUUCCACUGAUGGUCGACUAGGCCAUCUUCUGAUACAUAUGCAGCUAGAGACAAGAGCUCUGGGGGGUACUGGGUAGUUCAUAUUGUUGUUCCACCUAUAGGGUUGCAGAUCCCUUUAGCUCCUUGGUUACUUUCUCUAGCUCCUCCACUGGGGGCCCUGUGAUCCAUCCAAUAGCUGACUGUGAGCAUCCACUUCUGUGUUUGCUAGGCCGCGGUAUAGUCUCACAAGAGACAGCUAUAUCUGGGUCCUUUCAGCAAAAUCUUGCUAGUGUAUGCAAUGGUAUCAGCAUUUGGAGGCUGAUUAUGGGAUGGAUCCCCAGAUAUGGCAGUCUCUAGAUGGUCCAUCCUUUCAUCUCAGCUCCAAACUGUGUCUCUUUAACUCCUCCCAUGGGUGUUUUGUUCCUAAUUCUAAGAAGGGAUAUGGGUACAAGGGAAAAAUUCCUGAAUAGAACAGCAAUGGCUUGUGCUGUAAGAUCGAGGAUUGACAAAUGGGACCUCAUAAAAUUGCAAAGCUUCUGCAAGGCAAAAGACACCGUCAAUAAGACAAAAAGGCCACCAACAGAUUAGGAAAGGAUCUUUACCUAUCCUAAAUCAGAUAGGGGACUAAUAUCCAAUAUAUAAAAAGAACUCAAGAAGGUGGACUCCAGAAAAUCAAAUAACCCCAUUAAAAAUGGGGCUCAGAACUAAACAAAGAAUUCUCACCUGAGGAAUAACGAAUGGCAGAGAAGCACCUGAAAAAAUGUUCAACAUCCUUAAUCAUCAGGGAAAUGCAAAUCAAAAGAACCCUAAGAUUCCACCUCACACCAGUCAGAAUGGCUAAGAUCAAAAAUUCAGGUGACAGCAGAUGCUGGCGAGGAUAUGGAGAAAGAGGAACACUCCUCCAUUGUUGGUGGGAUUGCAAGCUUGUACAACCACUCUGGAAAUCAGUCUGGCGGUUCCUCAGAAAAUUGGACAUAGUGCUACUGGAGGAUGGAGGAUCCUGCAAUACCUCUCCUGGGCAUAUAUCCAGAAGAUGUUCCAACCGGUAAGAAGGACACAUGCUCCACUAUGUUCAUAGCAGCCUUAUUUAUAAUAGCCAGAAGCUGGAAAGAACCCAGAUGCCCCUCAACAGAGGAAUGGAUACAGAAAACGUGGUACAUUUACACAAUGUACCACACAAUUACACUCAGCUAUUAAAAAGAAUGAAUUUAUGAAAUUCCUAGGCAAAUGGAUGGACCUGGAGGGCGUCAUCCUGAGUGAGGUAACACAUUCACAAAGGAACUCACACAAUAUGUACUCACUGAUAAGUGGAUAUUAGCCCUGAACCACAUUUCUUGAGGCAGCAACGGCUCUCCACAGUUUGGUCCAUGAGGCUUGGGAAACAUCUAUAAUGUUUAAUUUAUAUAAUUCCUAAUGUGACAGUAACUGUCUAACAAAAGGACUGACAUCUCAAGCUUGGUGUCACCUAAGGACAUAUUUAGCAGAACUUAGUGGAAUUUAUGUGGAGGAGACAAUUAGUGCAGCAUUGUAAUUAAAAGGCUCCAUUGCUGUGAAGCCAUUAGAAAAGAUAGGACUUUUGGCCGAGGAUUUUGAGAUCAGAAGAGCAUAGAUGUGGACAUUCUUAUUCCACGUCUCAAACCCCAUUGCCCAUCCUAUGUGCUACCCAGCAGCCCUUCAGGGGCAUAAGGACCCUGGGAACUGAGAGAAGCCGUGUCUAUGGUCAGAAAUGCAAACUAGAAAUUAAAAUUUAAGAGGCAUUAUUAAUAUAAAUUUACAAAACUUCAGAGAAGUAUGAAUAACAAGUGUAUGUAGUGCCUUUUUAACAUGUGAUCAUAUUGAAUUUUCUCAGCACUCUUCCUUGGUGCUACGAUAAAAAACAAAGCUUUGCACAUACUUCAUAAUCUCUUUACAAUGUUUAUGCCCUAAUUUUUGGUAUAUAAUGUAGAAAUAAUAACCACGUCUAUAAAUUCUUAAAAGAAAUCACUCCCAGAAAACUACUGUUAUAAUUAGUGCUAUCAUCUCUUUAAAUCUCUCAGUCUUGAGAGACUGUCAUCCUGAUAGAAUUUGUAAUCACCAUACAAACAAACAUCUGGGAAUGUCUAUCAGGGAAUUUGUAGAUUAGGCCACUUGAAGAAGGGAAACUCAACCUAGCUGUGGGCAGCACUAUUCCGCGAAGAGGGGUCUGAACAGAAUAGAAAGGAGAAAGGCAGCUGAACAUCAGCAUUCAUCUCUCUUUGUUUCCUGGAUGGCGAUAUAAUGUGGCCAGCUGUCUCAAACUCCUGCCAUAGUACUGUCACCUUAAUGAUGGUCUGCUUCACCAGGUAAGCCAAAAGAAACUCUUCCCUUCGUGAGUUGCUUUCUUCUGGUAUUUUGCCACAUGGAUGACAAAUAUAACUACUAAAAGGGUUACCAUAUUUCAAGAUGUGGUUGAGGUGCAAAUAACCUACCUAAGGUAGUACUCUGCAUUGCCUAGAAGAUAGUAGUAUUCUCAUAUUUGUUUUUACAUUAAAACAGCUAAGGGGGUGUUAAAGUAAUGAUUCUUUCUAAGAAGCAUUCUAUAACCUAUUCUAAGAAGUAAUUAAUUCACUAUAAUUUAUAAGACAUUCCAAUUGUCUUGAGAUCUUUCUCCAAGUCUUAUAGUUAAAACAACCCUAUCAUAUUGAUAAACUAUGUAUCAAAGCUUCCAGUUACAUAAAUAUAUACAGAAUAAGUAUUUUUAUCCAGCCUGUGCAGGAGGAAUAUUUCCUCUAGUAAGAAAAAGAGAAUGCUAGAAUAAUGAAGGAACCACCUUCAAAAUUACUGGCAUUUUUCUUUGAAGUGGACAGCUUCUAGAAGCAUCUCAAUUAUGGAAUCAAUUACAAAACCGAAACUUUUAUUCCUACUUAUUAACUAUAAAGAGUUUAGCAGACCUCUUCAUUUUCUUGAAAGGCUGUAUGUUCUAGGCCAAUGUUUAUAGCUUUAAGGAACAUAAAAUAAUCAAGUAUGAUUUUAAAAAAGAGCCAACAUAUUCUCCCUGUUCACAAAGCUAUCAUGAUAAUCCUUUGGUUUGAUGUAAAGAUCCAAGCACAUGCUACCAGAAGAUUCAUCCCAUGGUCUUUCCUUCUCUUUACAUUUGUGUAAGAAUUCAGCAUGGUUACUGGAAGCUCAACAAGAAAAUGCAAAAAAAAAAAAAAAAAAAGAUAUAAGAAAGAGUCUUUUGUCAGGAUAAUUUGUGCUACUGUAUACUCUUGAAUUGCCUAUUUCUUGAUUUACUAUUAUUGCAAGAUGAUGUAUGGAUAUGUGAGUGUCCUCCUCACAGAAUGAAUGGUCAUGAGUUUUUGAAAAUGAACCCAUUAUUUUUGUGAUCGUCAUCAUGCAGACCCAGAGCCAGUGCUUACAUAAGACAGUGUCAACGACCAAAAGGGACAAUAGAGAACCUAAGCAGUAAUUCAGUGCCUGAGAGUCAAGUCUUCACAUGCUUGCUCACCAUUCCUAUGACAGUGUCACCAAAGCAAGCCAUGUGAGACACAAAGGGAAAACAUUCAUCACUGAGGAACACUAAGGAAAGAGGCAGCACACAUACAUACCAUGUGGCAUAAGCAGCAGGCAUAUCCCAGAUUACUAUCACUCCACUUUGUGCUACAUUUUCCCCCUGUAUUGUACCUUGACCCUUUCGACUUCCCUUGUUCCCUUCACGCCACACCCCUCACUCCCCACACACACCCUAAAGGCUGUGUCUCUAACCUAUGGCACUGUAGGGUUGUGCAAAAUUCAGGAGAAGUAGCCUAAUGAAAGAACUUAGGUCAUUGAAUAAAUGUGUUUGAAGAGCAUAAUCCCCCACUACACCCUGUGUCUUCUCUUUGGCUCCUUGCAGCCUUGAAAUAAGCAACCUGGCUCAAUAUUGGUUCCCUCUGCAUGAUGUCGUAGAUUACCAUAAACCCAGGAACAAAGGAACAGCUGACCUUGAAGAAUUCAGAACUGUCACAUCUGAAUUCUGCCAAUUCAAGGACUGGGAAGUUUUUUUCUAAUCUUUCCUCUUUUUAAGUUGAUUAUCUCAAAUACUAUGUUACAGCAACAUGAAUCUGACUAACCAACAUUAAAAACAAUUUUAUCUUAGGCCUUAAAGUUUAAAUGGUGCAACAAAACCUAAUAUUUCUCUUUCUUUGUUAGUAGCUUUAUUUUCUUUAUAACCCACUAAGUUUUCAUUUGAAAUAAAUUAAACAGCUGAGGGUCUGAAAUAAUCUACUGAGCUUAUAAGAAGGUCUAGUCGAAAGCCAGAGGCUGAACAUCACACACAGAGAUGGUGGUGAAGAAGACUACCUUGAAGCCUGGAGUCCCCUUUCGUGCUGCAGCUCAGCUGUUUCUUGGCAUCACUUGUAGAGAAGUGGGUACAGAAACUUAACCCAACGGGCCACAGCAGCUCUCAGACUGCUCCCACAGCCACCAUCUUGUGAUCUGCACACACUGCCUAAAGGCCUGAAGAAACUUCCCUGAUCAUUUUUAAAAAGACAGAUUUCGAAGCUAUAUAUCUUGCAUGUUCUUUAAGAUGCUUGCAUUAGAUUGAUUAUGCACAUAACAUGUGCUGAUUGUAUAAAGUAAAAACCUGCUCUGAAGGUCUUUAUCAUUUACGUUGAAAGGCUAUGAGCAAAAUGAAACAAAACAGAAAUGUUUGAGCAGCUGCCCCAGAUUCCAGCUUCACAUCUCAGGUUUGGUGAGAAGAGCUGCUGGUCCUAGCUGAUGUAGGUGGAGACACUUUCAAGAGAUCCUGGCUCUGCUGUCUCCCAUAUGAGAUUCUCAGAAUGAACACAGACUUCCUUAAAGCAACAUGUCCAGGCUGACUUCAGUCCUUCAUGUAGAAGACUCUCCCUGGUCUGAGAAGAGCAACUGUAUUUGAAUUUGCAAUAAAAGAGCUUCCUAUGUAGUUUCAACGAAAAUGAACUACUGGAUUAUCCUGGAGCCAAGGCAAUUACAGGAAAGUAGGUACUGGUGACAGACAGAGAGUCUACUGGGACCCAAUCAGUAUUCUGAGUUGGUGGUGAUCAGAAAACCUGAAAGAGCAUUGGAAGGAAGAAGAAGGCCAAGUUGAACUCAUCAACUCACUUCACUCACCAAUGGAUCAGGUGCUGAAGGCUACCAGUUAAAUGUCACUUAAGGCCUCCCUGUUCUGCGAGAACAAGGGUUGUAUGAACUUGGAAGCUGGAAUGAACCUCAACAUAACCAGAACAAACCAGACACACCAAAGACUCAUUAUUACAAAUAAUCCCUUGAGCACUCUCUUCAGAGUUAAAGCACUCCAUCCUGGACCGUGCCUCCUUUGAGGAUCAAGGAGUUCCAAGUUGAAGCAUUCCUUCCAGGAAGAGGUGGGAGGAUCAUGAGGUUCAGAAAGCCAACAAAAUUCAUAAGUAUGAGAAAGCUGAAGCGAAAUCCACAAAGACUACAGAACAGUAAACAGCUCCUGGGGGAAGAGACUCUCCCACCAGUUUAAGGGUCGGUACUGCAUGUUCAUGCAGAGAAUUCUAAGGAUAUAGGCUUCAUGAGUCACCACCCCCAGUGAUGUGUGGGUUUUCAGUGACUUGGCUGACAUUGAGUCAUCUCUGCUUCUGUAAGUAACCUCUUACCUAUACUGGGAAACCCCUAAUAAACUCAUAUAUUUUCCAAGUUUGA